rnacentral:rRNA from 1 species
AUUGAACGCUGGCGGCAGGCCUAACACAUGCAAGUCGAACGAGUGGCGGACGGGUGAGUAAUGACUGGGCAACUGCCUGACGGAGGGGGAUAACUACUGGAAACGGUAGCUAAUACCGCAUACCAUCCGAUGGGCCCAGAUGGGAUGAGCUUGGUGGUGGGGUAACGGAGCACAAGGGCGACGAUCCCUAGCUGGGCUGAGAGGCUGACCAGCCACACUGGAACUGAUACACGGUCCAGACUCCUACGGAAGGCAGCAGUGGGGAAUAUUGCAAAAGGGGCGCAAGUCUGAUGCAGCCAUGCCGCGUGGAUGAAGAGGGCCUUCGGGUUGUAAAGUACUUUCAGCGGGGAGGCGUUACCCGCAGAGAAAGCAACGGCUAACUCCGUGCCAGCAGCCGCGGUAAUUC